UGGGGUGUGGCUCAGAGGCAGAGCACUCGCCUAGCAUGUAUGAGGAACUGGGUUAGAGCCUCAGCACCACAU
rfam:Ictidomys tridecemlineatus contig004594, whole genome shotgun sequence.